UGGGGAAUAUUGCACAAUGGGGGAAACCCUGAUGCAGCGACGCCGCGUGGAGGAAGAAGGUCUUCGGAUUGUAAACUCCUGUUGUUGAGGAAGGUAAUGACGGUACUCAACAAGGAAGUGACGGCUAACUACGUGCCAGCAGCCGCGGUAAAACGUAGGUCACAAGCGUUGUCCGGAAUUACUGGGUGUAAAGGGAGCGCAGGCGGGAAGACAAGUUGGAAGUGAAAUCUAUGGGCUCAACCCAUAAACUGCUUUCAAAACUGUUUUUCUUGAGUAGUGCAGAGGUAGGCGGAAUUCCCGGUGUAGCGGUGGAAUGCGUAGAUAUCGGGAGGAACACCAGUGGCGAAGGCGGCCUACUGGGCACCAACUGACGCUGAGGCUCGAAAGUGUGGGUAGCAAACAGGAUUAGAUACCCUGGUAGUCCACACCGUAAACGAUGAUUACUAGGUGUUGGAGGAUUGACCCCUUCAGUGCCGCAGUUAACACAAUAAGUAAUCCACCUGGGGAGUACGACCGCAAGGUUGAAACUCAAAGGAAUUGACGGGGGCCCGCACAAGCAGUGGAGUAUGUGGUUUAAUUCGACGCAACGCGAAGAACCUUACCAAGUCUUGACAUCCCUUGACGAACAUAGAAAUAUGUUUUCUCUUCGGAGCAAGGAGACAGGUGGUGCAUGGUUGUCGUCAGCUCGUGUCGUGAGAUGUUGGGUUAAGUCCCGCAACGAGCGCAACCCUUAUGGUCAGUUACUACGCAAGAGGACUCUGGCCAGACUGCCGUUGACAAAACGGAGGAAGGUGGGGAUGACGUCAAAUCAUCAUGCCCUUUAUGACUUGGGCUACACACGUACUACAAUGGCGUUAAACAAAGAGAAGCAAGACCGCGAGGUGGAGCAAAACUCAGAAACAACGUCCCAGUUCGGACUGCAGGCUGCAACUCGCCUGCACGAAGUCGGAAUUGCUAGUAAUCGUGGAUCAGCAUGCCACGGUGAAUACGUUCCC
rnacentral:rRNA from 1 species